GAAACCUCCCACCCCAAAAAAUUGGGAGGGGAAUGGUGGGGGCCAUUCCCCUCCCAAUUUUUUGGGGUGGGAGGUUU